rnacentral:rRNA from 1 species
GAUGAACGCUGGCGGCGUGCUUAACACAUGCAAGUCGAACGGUGAAGGCGGAGCUUGCUCUGCUGGAUCAGUGGCGAACGGGUGAGUAACAUGUGAGCAAUCUGCCCCUGACUCUGGGAUAAGCGCUGGAAACGGCGUCUAAUACUGGAUACGAGCUGCGAAGGCAUCUUCAGCAGCUGGAAAGAACUUCGGUCAGGGAUGAGCUCGCGGCCUAUCAGCUUGUUGGUGAGGUAACGGCUCACCAAGGCGUCGACGGGUAGCCGGCCUGAGAGGGUGACCGGCCACACUGGGACUGAGACACGGCCCAGACUCCUACGGGAGGCAGCAGUGGGGAAUAUUGCACAAGGGGCGAAAGCCUGAUGCAGCAACGCCGCGUGAGGGACGACGGCCUUCGGGUUGUAAACCUCUUUUAGCAGGGAAGAAGCGAAAGUGACGGUACCUGCAGAAAAAGCGCCGGCUAACUACG